rnacentral:rRNA from 1 species
CCCUUAGACACUCUAGGCGGCACGCGCGCUACAAUGGGUGGAAGAACGUGUUACUGCCUCCGAAAGGAGGGGUGAAUCACGAAUUCUUGCCCGUGAAUGGGAUAGUUUGUUGCAAUUUUCGGACUUGAACUAGGAAUCCCUUGUAAACAUGCUCAAGAAUAGCGUGUUGAAUACGUCCCUGCCGUUUGUACACACCGCCCGUCGUUUCUUCCGACUGAUACUCAUUGUGAGUUGCAAGGACCCUUUAUUGGGAAAUUGCUGCAAAGGCUUUGUAUUGGAGGAAGAAAAAGUCGUAACA